rnacentral:rRNA from 1 species
AUUGAACGCUGGCGGCAUGCUUUACACAUGCAAGUCGAACGGUAACAGGCCGCAAGGUGCUGACGAGUGGCGAACGGGUGAGUAAUGCAUCGGAACGUGCCCAGUCGUGGGGGAUAACGCAGCGAAAGCUGUGCUAAUACCGCAUACGAUCUAUGGAUGAAAGCGGGGGACCGUAAGGCCUCGCGCGAUUGGAGCGGCCGAUGUCAGAUUAGGUAGUUGGUGGGGUAAAGGCCCACCAAGCCAACGAUCUGUAGCUGGUCUGAGAGGACGACCAGACACACGGGGACUGAGAAAGGGCCAAGACCCAUAGGGGAGGCAGCAGUGGGGAAUUUUGGAAAAUGGGCGAAAGCCUGAUCCAGCAAUGCCGCGUGCAGGAAGAGGGCCUUCGUGUUGUAAACUGCUUUGGUACGGAACGAAACGGUCGGGGUUAAUACCCUGGGCUACGGACGGUACCGUAAGAAUAAGCACCGGUUAACGGCGUGCAAGCAGCCGCCGUAACAC